rnacentral:rRNA from 1 species
CGGCCUUCGGGUUGUAAACCUCUUUCAGUAGGGAAGAAGCGAAAGUGACGGUACCUGCAGAAGAAGCGCCGGCUAACUACGUGCCAGCAGCCGCGGUAAUACGUAGGGCGCAAGCGUUAUCCGGAAUUAUUGGGCGUAAAGGGCUCGUAGGCGGUUUGUCGCGUCUGCCGUGAAAGUCCGGGGCUCAACUCCGGAUCUGCGGUGGGUACGGGCAGACUAGAGUGAUGUAGGGGAGACUGGAAUUCCUGGUGUAGCGGUGAAAUGCGCAGAUAUCAGGAGGAACACCGAUGGCGAAGGCAGGUCUCUGGGCAUUAACUGACGCUGAGGAGCGAAAGCAUGGGGAGCGAACAGGAUUAGAUACCCUGGUAGUCCAUGCCGUAAACGUUGGGCACUAGGUGUGGGGGACAUUCCACGUUUUCCGCGCCGUAGCUAACGCAUUAAGUGCCCCGCCUGGGGAGUACGGCCGCAAGGCUAAAACUCAAAGGAAUUGACGGGGGUCCGCACAAGCGGCGGAGCAUGCGGAUUAAUUCGAUGCAACGCGAAGAACCUUACCAAGGCUUGACAUGGACCGGACCGGGCUGGAAACAGUCUUUCCCCUUUGGGGCUGGUUUACAGGUGGUGCAUGGUUGUCGUCAGCUCGUGUCGUGAGAUGUUGGGUUAAGUCCCGCAACGAGCGCAACCCUCGUUCUAUGUUGCCAGCAC